AAAACGGCUCCUUUGAGAGCCAUCAAAUUCAUCAAAAAAAUUAAAAU
rnacentral:ncRNA from 1 species